CCUACGGGUGGCAGCAGUGGGGGAUAUUGCACAAUGGGGGAAACCCUGAUGCAGCGACGCCGCGUGGGUGAAGAAGCGCCUCGGCGCGUAAAGCCCUGUCAGCAGGGAAGAAAAUGACGGUACCUGAAGAAGAAGCCCCGGCUAACUACGUGCCAGCAGCCGCGGUAAUACGUAGGGGGCAAGCGUUAUCCGGAUUUACUGGGUGUAAAGGGGGCGCAGACGGCGAUGCAAGCCAGGAGUGAAAGCCCGGGGCCCAACCCCGGGACUGCACUUGGAACUGGGUGGCUAGAGUGCAGGAGGGGGAGGCGGAAUUCCAGGUGUAGCGGUGAAAUGCGUAGAGAUCAGGAGGAACACCGGUGGCGAAGGCGGCCUGCUGGACUGCAACUGACGUUGAGGCCCGAAAGCGUGGGGAGCAAACAGGAUUAGAUACCCCAGUAGUC
rnacentral:rRNA from 1 species